AUUGAACGCUGGCGGAAUGCUUUACACAUGCAAGUCGAACGGUAGAGGGGGCAACCCCUCGAGAGUGGCGAACGGGUGAGUAAUAUAUCGGAACGUACCUUAUCGUGGGGGAUAACGCAGCGAAAGCUGCGCUAAUACCGCAUACGCCCUACGGGGGAAAGCAGGGGGACCUUCGGGCCUUGCGCGAUUGAAUAUGCCCAGGUGGGAUUAGCUAGUUGGUGAGGUAAUGGCUCACCAAGGCGACGAUCCCUAGCUGGUCUGAGAGGAUGAUCAGCCACACUGGAACUGAGACACGGUCCAGACUCCUACGGGAGGCAGCAGUGGGGAAUAUUGCACAAUGGGGGAAACCCUGAUGCAGCCAUGCCGCGUGUGUGAAGAAGGCCUUCGGGUUGUAAAGCACUUUCAGCGAGGAGGAAAGGUCAGUAGCUAAUACCUGCUGGCUGUGACGUUACUCGCAGAAGAAGCACCGGCUAACUCCGUG
rnacentral:rRNA from 1 species